UGGGGAAUAUUGCACAAUGGGCGAAAGCCUGAUGCAGCAACGCCGCGUGAGUGAUGAAGGCCUUCGGGUUGUAAAGCUCUGUCUUUUGGGACGAUAAUGACGGUACCAAAGGAGGAAGCCACGGCUAACUACGUGCCAGCAGCCGCGGUAAUACGUAGGUGGCAAGCGUUGUCCGGAUUUACUGGGCGUAAAGGAUGCGUAGGCGGAUUUUUCAAGUGAGAUGUGAAAUACCCGGGCUUAACUUGGGUGCUGCAUUUCAAACUGGGAAUCUAGAGUGCGGGAGAGGAGAAUGGAAUUCCUAGUGUAGCGGUGAAAUGCGUAGAGAUUAGGAAGAACACCAGUGGCGAAGGCGAUUCUCUGGACCGUAACUGACGCUGAGGCAUGAAAGCGUGGGUAGCAAACAGGAUUAGAUACCCUGGUAGUCCACGCCGUAAACGAUGAGUACUAGGUGUAGGAGGUAUCGACCCCUUCUGUGCCGCAGUUAACACAAUAAGUGCUCCGCCUGGGAAGUACGAUCGCAAGAUUAAAAGCUCAAAUGAAUUGACGGGGUCAUAGCU
rnacentral:rRNA from 1 species